rfam:Gregarina niphandrodes unplaced genomic scaffold scaffold00233, whole genome shotgun sequence.
GGCUGUUUGGUCUAGUGGUAUGAUUCUUCCUUCGGGUGGAAGAAAUCCUAGGUUCGGUUCCUAGAACAGCCC